UGUGUGUGUGUGUGUGUGUGUAUUUAUGUAUGUAUAUACAUAUACACACACAUACAUAUACACAUACACACAUAUACA
rnacentral:miRNA from 1 species